CUACGUGCCAGCAGCCGCGGUAAUACGGAAGGUCCAGGCGUUAUCCGGAUUUAUUGGGUUUAAAGGGAGCGUAGGCGGAUUGUUAAGUCAGCGGUUAAAGGGUGUGGCUCAACCAUGCAUUGCCGUUGAAACUGGCGAUCUUGAGUGCAGACAGGGAUGCCGGAAUUCGUGGUGUAGCGGUGAAAUGCUUAGAUAUCACGAAGAACUCCGAUCGCGAAGGCAGGUGUCCGGGCUGCAACUGACGCUGAGGCUCGAAAGUGUGGGUAUCAAACAGGAUUAGAUACCCUGGUAGUCCACACAGUAAACGAUGUAUACUCGCGGUUUGCGAUAGAUUGUAAGCCGCCAAGCGAAAGCAUUAAGUAUACCACCUGGGGAGUACGCCGGCAACGGUGAAACUCAAAGGAAUUGACGGGGGCCCGCACAAGCGGAGGAACAUGUGGUUUAAUUCGAUGAUACGCGAGGAACCUUACCCGGGCUUGAACUAACGGUGACGAAUCUAGAGAUAG
rnacentral:rRNA from 1 species